UAAACCAUUUAUGUUUCAUACAACAUGCAUUUGUUGAUCAUACGAGAAAGAAAUAAUUUUGACCAUUAAUUUUUCAUUGAUUCGUAUAUUUUAGUAACGUUUGUGUAUUCUUAAUACAAAUUUUCCAAAAUGUUGUACAUGUUCAGGAGCGGCAGUGUACUUGCUCUUUUCGACAAAUUUUCAAAAAAUAUUGUUACUAACACAUAACAACCAUUGACACCACCGAGAACAGUAUCGAUCGAUCAUGGCAAUCACGCACGGUUUGCAAAUAUCGACGAAAGCAAUGACAGAUAUUAGUUGAAUUAAAGAAAAGAGUAGUAAGCUGAAUUGGAUCGAAGCUGGUGCUGUUGAGACACCUGGGUUAAGCGUUAAAAGUUUACAGAUCUUGGACGUAGAAAAUGAAACGAGCGCGGGAUCUAAUUUUCAAAAAACCUCUGCUAACUAUGUUGGCACGAGAACGUAGAAAUCCGUAUAAUAAAAACCACGAUAUAAAUAACGCUGCUUAUGUCAGAUUCCACGCAACAGAUGGCUAAGCUCCUUACUCUAGUUAGAUGUGAUUAAUAGUUUCACGGUGUUGGAUAUUUUAUUUAAUCUUGAUAUUGUAUACAACAUGGCAGUAAUAAUAGCGCAUUAGAGAUUAAUUCACGUACUUACUUGCAUCGAUGUACUUACCUCAGCAACACGCAUAUCAUUCGCUAGACUAAUGUCCAUAAUGUUAGAUUUUAUCGCGUAACUAAUUACUAAUUACCGAGGAGUAUUAUUACGUAAAUAAAAUUAUGGAAUAACAAAUCAGAAUUUACAAAUAACGAAGUCUUCGAUCGAUGUGAUCAACAUCUUUAACGACGUGUAUACGUAACUUAUGUUCAAGGAUAAACAUCAAGUAAAUAAGUAUAGUGCCUGAUGUGGAAUUAUAAAUGGCUAUUUAACCUCGUCGCAUGUCAGUGUAUUAUUAAAAUGAUACAGUGACGUCGCACCGAUAUGCAAAUCAAAUACCAAAAUCAAUACGCGAUAUUCGAACCAAUGAAAAAGAGAAUCUUAUAUGUCCAUGGUAGUUAUAUGGCACAUAAUACCAUAAUAAUAAAAACACACUUAAACAUGGUCUUGGAAGAUCGAUGGUUCGCUACGUAUGGUUCAAUCCAUUUGACCAGAUCACUCACAGGACGUAAAUCAUUCAGACAUUUAUCUCCGGAGAUAUUUACAGUCAAUAAAUUACGAAACACGUAUCGAUGGUACUGAAUAUCUUCAAGUGCAAAUAACAUAAGCGUGCAGAAAUAUACGUACGUACAAACGUGAACCUUAGUAUACAAGAUAUCAACUUUAAACGUUAUUAAAGAAGCAUUUCGUUAAUAUCUGUUUCAAAAUUGAAAAUCGAUCGUAAAGAGAUACACGACAAUUACAGGUUGGCUGGACACUUUUGGCAGCUGUAAAUCUUCUACUAAUGAAACUGGCACGAACAUACCGUAAUAAUUAUGCCACGUGUCGAUGCAUGUACUCGGUGUAGCGAGGAAUCAAUAUACCAAGGUCGUAAAUUACAGUGUCAAGUGACGAUAUUAGAGAGUCGCGUAGAAGCCUUUUGAAUCUUGGGCUGCGAAAGCCCCUCGUAGAAACUCGAUAGUCUUCGUUCAAAGAAGCUUCUACUGGGAUAGACUUGGUCGAAGUUUAAACAAUGGCCAUUAACCUCGAUUUAAUUGAUUUAGUCUGGUAUUGUUGAUUAGUUAACAAUCAACCGUAGAGCGUAGAAUGUUUCUCGUUGGCCUGACGCAUGAGCCAGACACGCACGUGCGUCGAUAGUCAUACGACGAAAAUUGGUGCAAUUUACAUGAGACGUAGGAUGUUGCACGCUCAGGCUAUCAUUCGGAAGACCGCAAAAGCGAAUUGGAACGUUUCUUUUCUCAGAAGACUGUGCGAUUCUACACCGAUGGAACAACCAAGUUACCGCAAAGGUGGCGAAAAGUCAUCGGAAGGAACGCAGCGCAGAUUGAAAACAACGCGCGUGAAGGAGAAAACGCAUGCUUCAGCGGGGCCGUAAAAACGGAACGAGCUUUCCCUAUGAUAUUUAACGCUAUAGUUCGUGCAACUAGUCGAGUCGGUAGAGGUAAAUAAAAGAUUCGCCUGCUAGGCACGUGAUAGAUGUAAAGAAUUCGAGGUUCGGUUCAAAAGCGAAUUUACAUUGGCUAUUGUUAGAGCUUGCUUUCACUUUAUGACAAAGUAUCUGAAGAUUGUGAAUACGCUCCCAAUCACGUGCGUUUGUUUAACCUCUAGCGACUCGACUCGUUGCAUGGAGUAUAGAACUUGCAAUCUUUGACAUAAAGGCUGAGUCAGAACACGCGAAGACUACGCCAGGAGCUGAUUCAGCACGCUAAAGUAAGAAGAAGGAUCGUAUAAACACAUGCUCGAUAUGGCCUCUUCUUCGAGUUACAGCUUAUUUCGUGACGCUAGACGCUGCUUAGAUCAACGAUUCCCUGGCAAAUGAAUAGAUCGCGCUGCCCUUAUUUCCUCGCCAGCUCUCCGGACCAGAAUCCAUUCGAUUGUUAUUUACAGCGGCAUUUAAGAUCUGUUCUUCAUAAAACGUAAAAGUGUCGCAACGUGACGACCAAAGUUUCCGGACAAUUAGUAGAAGCUGUGCAAACAAGUUGAACGAUCUACGACGCGAUAGAUUCACGGUUCUGUAGAACCUGCUGAACCUGGUCACUUGGAACAAUUUCUCUGAAGAAUCAACGCAUUGAGGACCAAGCGGUGAAAUAACGUAUAAAAGUUACGUAAAUGGAAUUGUAUCAAACGUAAGUAACGUCAGUCAGAAAUUAAAGGCAAAGGAAGAAGUUCUAUAAUUUGAAGAAACGAAUAGUUCGUUGCUAUAAGAUACGUCAUCGCUAUGAAGUAUUUCGAUUUCUUCAAACUUCAUAAAAUAGUAGAAUUUAUGUCGAAGGAAGAAUGUCGGUGAAAAGAAUACUAAGUAAGUCCUUGCGCUUCCUUCUCAUAAUCAUAAUAUCAAUUUAAUAAAAAUCAGCAACGUGAAUUGUCUGAAAAGAAAUUGCAAACGAAAUAUUGCGUUAACGUAAGCAACAUAAACAACGAAUAGGUAUAAAGAAGAGAAGACAAAUGAAUAAAUAUAUUGAAGUUUCCGUCUCGCUAAAAGUAAGCAUUGCUGUUACCAAAAACAGUCGCACGUUUUCUCUAAUUGCGGAAACAAGAAGUUUAGUACCAGUCAUUUUUAAUGAUUUCGUACUCCUUGCGUUAAGUAAUUAAAUACCAAAUAUUGAAAAUAA